AAACCUCCAACCGGACAAAAAGAUCAAAAAUAGCGAAUGCGCGACAGAGACUUGUCUUUUGAGACGGCGAGAGCAGAAACGACGCCGCUGCAUCCGCUCACCGUCUCUUCGCCAACAGCUCUCUAAAACUCACAUAUCAAUUGAUAUUGGAUUUGAUUGAUUCGUCGAUUGAUUUUGAUUUUGGGUUUUGGGGAUGCUAUUGUUGAGGAGGAUCGCUGGGUUUCUUGGAUUUGCUAAAGACGAUGCCCACGACGUGAAAGAUCAAGACGACGAUACCGUUAACGACUCCCAGCCUCGUCUUCCCCACGAAUUCCAUGAAACUGGCCUUCCACGCAAGGGUUUCGGUGUCAAGGUCCAGGUCGCUGUGGACCGUCCCCAGUCAGCCCCACUUCUUCUUCCCUCUACGUCCGGCGACGGCGGCGUCCAGGGUCUUAGAUGGUAUGCAAAGUGUCUAAGAAUAGAUGAUGAUGGAGAUGUGGCAGAUGAGUUCCUUGAUGAGGUUUUAACAGAGACAACACACAAUGUAGAGGAACAGCCUAAGCAUCAUCCUAGGUUUGAAGUGAAGCGCAGAACCAGACCAAUUAAAGUGAAGAACCAGGUCCUGUCUGUUGAUGGAAAAAUUCAACAAUGCAUUGAGCACCAAGGCAGAUUGCAGUGGGUCUAAUCCCUUCCUAGAGAAUUUGUGGGCUUAAUGCUGGUUUGUGUUUUGUUUUAAAUUACAUUUGAGCCUAUCACAUGAAUGUAUUGUGUCUACUUAUAUUUUACAGUAUAGAAAUGAACUUAAAAUUUGUCAAGCCAGGUCUCACUACUAUUAAUAUUCAGUUAUGAUUUUUCUUCUAUUUUUCUUUGUUAACUUUUCCUCCUUCAUGCCAAGGAUCCUUUAUUGAAUACUAUAUUUGUGAGAGAAUUGUAUGUGCUAAUUGAGAUGAUGUCUAGGCAGAGUGCAUCGAUCUGUGUAACGUAUUCCUGCACAUUCUUCCUUUCUUUUUAUGCGGUAUCUUGUACGUUUAUGUGGAGAAAGUAAGAGUAAACUAUAGUUCUCCCUAACUUAUAAGAUGAUUUAUAUGACUAUAUCAUCCGAUCACUGUCUUAGUGUCUUGUAUAUGAAAAUUUUUACUUAGUUUGCCCAUACUUUUACUGAUUACAUUGUACAAUAAUGAUUGAAUUUCAGUAAGAGUGACUGAAUAUUGCCUGGAGCAACAAUGUCAAUGUCAGCUUGCUAGCUAGUCUAUUAUUCAUACACUUACUCAUCUCAGGUUUCAUUAUUGUAUUUUAGUAAGAGUGACUGAAUAUAGCCUGGAGCAACAAAGUCAAUGUCAGCUUGCUAGCGAGCCUAUUAUUCACACACGGAUACACUUACUCAUCUCAGGUUUGAACUUUAUACUUGCAUACAAACAUUUUACUUUUCUGAUUAAUAGAAGCACAUGGUUUUAUUCUCAGAUGUCGUAAAACAACUGUUUGACUGGAGUUUGAGUGUUUUUCAGUUCUAUUGAUUUUGGUGCCCUAGAUUUGAAAUAGUCGACUAGAAAAGUUUCCUGCAAGCUCUCUCUGAUUGCUGACUCUAAAGCUCAUGCAUGUAGAGAUGAAGGUCUAUGCUACUCUGGAGUCUCGACCUUUCUGGAUACGUCAACAUCUAAUACACUUUGGCUUUAAGAUUUUCUUGUGUUUAUCAGAAGUUUCAAACCCCCCACUCCUUUGUUGUCUUUCCCUUGCAUGGACUCUCUCCAUGAAAAUGUGGUUGGAAAUUGAAUUGCCAAACUUUUGGGGUAGGGCAUGGCACAAUGUAUAUGGGACAGACCAUAGACAGAAAUGUCUGCAGCUGGUCAAAUGAGGCUAAGAUUUGGACAAUGUGAUAGAGAUUAUCUUCA